rnacentral:rRNA from 1 species
CCUACGGGCGGCAGCAGUGAGGAAUAUUGGUCAAUGGACGAGAGUCUGAACCAGCCAAGUAGCGUGAAGGAUGACUGCCCUAUGGGUUGUAAACUUCUUUUAUAUGGGAAUAAAACGUUCCACGUGUGGGAUUUUGUAUGUACCAUAUGAAUAAGGAUCGGCUAACUCCGUGCCAGCAGCCGCGGUAAUACGGCGGAUCCGAGCGUUAUCCGGAUUUAUUGGGUUUAAAGGGAGCGUAGGUGGAUUGUUAAGUCCGUUGUGAAAGUUUGCGGCUCAACCGUAAAAUUGCAGUUGAAACUGGCAGUCUUGAGUACAGUAGAGGUGGGCGGAAUUCGUGGUGUAGCGGUGAAAUGCUUAGAUAUCACGAAGAACUCCGAUUGCGAAGGCAGUUCACUGGACUGCAACUGACACUGAGGCUCGAAAGUGUGGGUAUCAAACAGGAUUAGAUACCCGUGUAGUC